rnacentral:rRNA from 1 species
UACGUAGGGGGCAAGCGUUGUCCGGAAUCAUUGGGCGUAAAGGGCGUGUAGGCGGUUUGUUAAGUCAUGUGUGAAAUCCCUCGGCUCAACCGGGGAACGACGCAUGAAACUGGCAAGCUAGAGUACCAAAGAGGGGGGUGGAAUUCCCGGUGUAGCGGUGAAAUGCGUAGAUAUCUGGAGGAACACCGGUGGCGAAGGCGGCAUCCUGGACCGAGAUUGACGCUGAUGCGCGAAAGCCAGGGGAGCAAACGGG